rnacentral:misc_RNA from 1 species
GAUGAAGAACGUAGCGAAAUGCGAUAAGUAAUGUGAAUUGCAGAAUUCAGUGAAUCAUCGAAUCUUUGAACGCACAUUGCGCCCGCCAGUAUUCUGGCGGGCAUGCCUGUUCGAGCGUCAUUUCAACCAUCAAGCCCCAGGCUUGUGUUGGAGCCCUGCGGCUGCCGCAGCCUCCCAAAACCAGUGGCGGGCUCGCUAUCACACCGAGUGCAGUAGUUUACUCUUCGCUCAGGGCGUGUGGCGGGUGUUAGCCGUAAAACCCCCAACUUCUCAAGGUUGACCUCGGAUCAGGUAGGAAUACCCGCUGAACUUAAGCAUAUCAAUAAGCGGAGGA